GACAGAGGGUGCAAACGUUGUUCGGAAUUACUGGGCGUAAAGCGAGUGUAGGCGGUUUGGUAAGUCGGAUGUGAAAGCCCCGGGCUCAACUCGGGAAGUGCACUCGAUACUGCCAAGCUAGAGUACUGGAGAGGUUGGUGGAAUUCUCGGUGUAGAGGUGAAAUUCGUAGAUAUCGAGAGGAACACCGGUGGCGAAGGCGGCCAACUGGACAGAUACUGACGCUGAGACUCGAAAGCGUGGGGAGCAAACAGGAUUAGAAACCCGAGUAGUCC
rnacentral:rRNA from 1 species